UGUUUGACAAGACCAUCGGACUUAUGCCUACAUACCAACAUAAAAAUGAGAGAUCAAAACCUCGUAGUUCGUGGUAACAAUUUCAAAAUUGGUGAAUUGCUUUUAACAAAAGGUUAACAAGAAUGACACAAAGGGCCAAAAGUUAAGUGAAGUUGUUAGUUCUUUUUUUUUUGUCUUUUUAAAAUGUUAAGUCAAUAUAAUUACGUUUAUUUACAAAUUAGAUUUAAGAAAAAGUUUGAAAAUCCAUUGGCAUAAGGCCAAAG
rnacentral:lncRNA from 1 species